UGCAUGUGUCCUGGGCUAGAGAAACGCACGGCAGAGAGAGAGAGAGAGAGAGAGUUUUCAAGAAGAAAGGAAGAAGAAGCGAAGAAGGGGGUUUAGAAGGACACCAAGAUUUAAGCCAAAAAAAUUGUGGAAAAUCAUCUUAAGGUGAUCAGGCGCAUGACCAAGCUUAGAGGCGUUUGCCUGGAAUCAGUUCUUGACAGCCAACCUAUGUGCCUCCCGUGGAGGUUCCAGACAUGACUAGUGGUUAUGGCUAAGUGCAUAAGUUGAAGUUUUAUUUUCCUGUCCAGCUAGACAAGUCCUUGUGUAUUGUGUAAAUAAGGCUAA